rnacentral:rRNA from 1 species
CGUCUAGGCGGGGAAUUAAGUUAGGUGUGAAAUCCCUGGGCUCAACCCAGGAACUGCAUCUAAAACUGGUUCUCUUGAGUUCGGGAGAGGAGAGCGGAAUUCCCGGUGUAGCGGUGAAAUGCGUAGAUAUCGGGAAGAACACCAGUGGCGAAGGCGGCUCUCUGGCCUAGAACUGACGCUGAAGCGCGAAAGCGUGGGGAGCAAACA